rnacentral:rRNA from 1 species
CGCGGCCUAUCAGCUUGUUGGUGAGGUAAUGGCUCACCAAGGCGUCGACGGGUAGCCGGCCUGAGAGGGUGACCGGCCACACUGGAACUGAGAUACGGUCCAGACUCCUACGGGAGGCAGCAGGAGGGAAUCUUGCGCAAUGGGCGAAAGCCUGACGCAGCGACGCCGCGUGGGGGAUGAAUGCCUUAGGGUUGUAAACCCCUUUCACGAGGGAAGAAACUGACGGUACCUCGAGAAGAAGCCCCGGCCAACUACGUGCCAGCAGCCGCGGUAAUACGUAGGGGGCGAGCGUUGUCCGGAUUUAUUGGGCGUAAAGGGCUCGUAGGCGGCUUGGCAAGUCGGCCGUGAAAACCCAGGGCUCAACUCUGGGACGCCGGUCGAUACUGCCAUGGCUAGGGUCCGGUAGAGGGGAAUGGAAUUCCCGGUGUAGCGGUGAAAUGCGCAGAUAUCGGGAGGAACACCAGUAGCGAAGGCGGUUCCCUGGGCCGGCACCGACGCUGAAGAGCGAAAGCGUGGGGAGCAAACAGGAUUAGAUACCCUGGUAGUCCACGCCGUAAACGUUGGGUACUAGGCGUGGCGUCUUAUCAACGGAUGCCGUGCUCGAAGCUAACGCGUUAAGUACCCCGCCUGGGGAGUACGG